AGUAAUACAUCGGAACGUGCCCAGUCGUGGGGGAUAACUACUGAAAGAGUAGCUAAUGCCGCAUACGAUCUGAGGAUGAAAGCGGGGGACCUUCGGGCCUCGCGCGAUUGGAGCGGCCGAUGGCAGAUUAGGUAGUUGGUGGGAUAAAAGCUUACCAAGCCGACGAUCUGUAGCUGGUCUGAGAGGACGACCAGCCACACUGAGACUGAGACACGGCCCAGACUCCUACGGGAGGCAGCAGUA
rnacentral:rRNA from 1 species